CCUACGGUGGGCUGCAGUGGGGAAUAUUGCACAAUGGGGGAAACCCUGAUGCAGCGACGCCGCGUGAAUGAUGAAGUAUUUCGGUAUGUAAACUUCUAUCAGCAGGGAAGAAAAUGACGGUAACUGAAUAAGAAGCCCUGGCUAACUACGUGCCAGCAGCCACGGUAAUACGUAGGGGGCAAGCGUUAUCCGGAUUUACUGGGUUGAACGGGAGCGUAGACGGUAUGGCAAGUCUGAUGUGAAAGCCCGGGGCUCAACCCCGGGACUGCAUUGGAAACUGCCGAACUAGAGUGUCGUAGAGGCGAGUGGAAUUCCUAGUGUAGCGGUGAAAUGCGUAGAGAUUAGGAGGAACACCAGUGGCGAAGGCGGCUUGCUGGACGAUGACUGACGUUGAGGCUCGAAAGCGUGGGGAGCAAACAGGAUUAGAUACCCGUGUAGUC
rnacentral:rRNA from 1 species